rnacentral:lncRNA from 1 species
GGAUAGCUGGGUGGCAACCCAAUAUCCAAGAUGUAUCUUUCUGUGUGUGUGCAUGCACCAUAGAAUGUAUAAUUCAGUUCUGGUCAGGAUGUUGGAGGCAUCCUUCCUUCCAGAAAAUGUGUAAGCCAGGAAUCUGUGGAUAUAUUUCAGGCUGGGGUUCCUAAGGUACAGGUCCUUGGACCUGGUGGGUGAGUAUGUAUCUGGGGGAUUAUCA